rnacentral:misc_RNA from 1 species
UCGAGUUAGGGUUGCCUCCCACGGCGCCCGACCUCCCAACCCUGUGUCUACUGUACCAUCUGUUGCUUCGGCGGGCCGGACCCCAUUUCAUCAGGGGACCGCCGGGCCUCUGUACCUGGAGAGAGCCCGCCGAUGGCCCAACCUCCAAACUCUUCGUACCCAAGCAUGUCGUCUAAAGCGAUACUUUUUUUGAUUCAAUCAAAAACU